AUUGAACGCUGGCGGCAGGCCUAACACAUGCAAGUCGAGCGGAUGAAGGGAGCUUGCUCCUGGAUUCAGCGGCGGACGGGUGAGUAAUGCCUAGGAAUCUGCCUGGUAGUGGGGGAUAACGUCCGGAAACGGGCGCUAAUACCGCAUACGUCCUGCGGGAGAAAGUUGGGGAUCUUCGGACCUCACGCUAUCAGAUGAGCCUAGGUCGGAUUAGCUAGUUGGUGGGGUAAAGGCCUACCAAGGCGACGAUCCGUAACUGGUCUGACAGGAUGAUCAGUCACACUGGAGCUGAGACACGGUCCAGACUCCUACGGGAGGCAGCAGUGGGGAAUGUUGGACAAUGGGCGAAAGCCUGAUCCAGCCAUGCCGCGUGUGUGGAGAAGGUCUUCGGAUUGUAAAGCACUUUAAGUUGGGAGGAAGGGCAGUAAGUUAAUACCUUGCUGUUUUGACGGUACCAACAGAAUAAGCACCGGCUAACUUCGUG
rnacentral:rRNA from 1 species